GAGUUUGAUCCUGGCUCAGAACGAACGCUGGCGGCAUGCCUAACACGUGCAAGUCGAACGAUGGCUUCGGCCAUAGUGGCGCACGGGUGAGUAACGCGUGGGAACCUGCCUUUUGGUUUGGGAUAACUCCGGGAAACUGGAGCUAAUACCGGAUGAGCCCGAGCAAUCGGGGAAAGAUUUAUCGCCAAAAGAGGGGCCCGCGUCCGAUUAGGUAGUUGGUGGGGUAACGGCCUACCAAGCCUACGAUCGGUAGCUGGUCUGAGAGGAUGAUCAGCCACACUGGGACUGAGACACGGCCCAGACUCCUACGGGAGGCAGCAGUGGGGAAUAUUGGACAAUGGGCGCAAGCCUGAUCCAGCAAUGCCGCGUGGAUGAUGAAGGCCUUAGGGUUGUAAAGUCCUUUCGGCGGGACGAUGAUGACGGUACCGCAGAAGAAGCCCGGCUAACUUCGUGCCAGCCGCCGCCGUAAG
rnacentral:rRNA from 1 species